ACGUGAUCUGAGUUCAGACCGGAGUAAUCCAGGUCAGUUUCUAUCUAUAAAGGGCUUUUUCUAGUACGAAAGGACCGAAAAAGCAUGGCCAAUGAAAUAUUCAAGCCAUACUUAUAAUUUAUGAUUUAAACUAAAUUGAUAAAUGACCUAUUAUAGUUACCUCAAAAACAGAGAA
rnacentral:rRNA from 1 species